rnacentral:miRNA from 1 species
GAGUGGGGAGGAGAGAGGGACAGAGAGCCUGCUUCUUUAAAGGAGCAAAGCAGGAGAGGAGAGGAGCCGCUUACACGAGUGUAAGCAGCUCCUGUCCGGUUGGUUCCUUUAAAGCAAGCAGGCUCUCUGUCCCUCUCUCCUCCCCACUCA